rnacentral:misc_RNA from 1 species
GUCAAAGAAUUGACCAAUUUCUGUUUCUUAAAAUUCAAAAGUGUUUAAAAUAUUGAUAGAAGCUAAAGCUGCAGAAAAAAAGGCUCUGUCAAAAUUUAUUUACGUAUAUAUGUGUAUACACAAACAUGCGUGUGUGUAUAUUGACUAUUGAGAUCUACAUAAGCCACAUAUUAUCUUUUGGCCAAUUCAUGUGCUUUGGAUUAGUUGAGAGAGUGUU